CAGUAGCCGCGGUAACACGAAGGGGGCUAGCGUUGUUCGGAAUUACUGGGCGUAAAGCGCACGUAGGCGGAUAUUUAAGUCAGGGGUGAAAUCCCGCAGCUCAACUGCGGAACUGCCUUUGAUACUGGGUAUCUUGAGUAUGGAAGAGGUUAGUGGAAUUGCGAGUGUAAAGGUGAAAUUCGUAGAUAUUCGCAGGAACACCAGUGGCGAAGGCGGCUAACUGGUCCAUAACUGACGCUGAGGUGCGAAAGCGUGGGGAGCAAACAGGAUUAGAUACCCCUGUAGUCCCUGUCUCUUAUAC
rnacentral:rRNA from 1 species